CUUCUCCCACCUACUCUCCACACCUCUCUGCCAUAUCUCAAUUAUAUCAAAUCAUGGAGACUUUACUCAUACCAAAGAGACUUUACUCAUUCUACACAAAAGACAUGUUGCAUUCUUCUCAUCUGCAUUCAAGAAGGCAAGAACGCACAAAAGAAGCCACCAAGCACCAAGCACCAACCAUCAUUAACCCUCAAGGCUUUGAGCAUCAUGAGGAUUAGCACUGCUAUUCCGAUUCAGAGAUAACGUUAAACGACAGGCAUUGCCUAUACAGGUUGAGCAGUUGAUGGAAUGGAAUGAUGUUGAGCGGGUGUUCCUUUGACAUUUCAAGAAAUGUAACCUUGAGUAUACAUCUUCAUAUGUAUAUCUCACACGUUUUCCGCUGCAAAACACUUUGAUUAGGAUAGCUCUAUGAUAUGAAGUUGUGAUACGUGUUAUUGGGUAACCACCUUAAUCAGUUCUCAAUUAUGUGUAUCCAAAUAAUCAUAUAUGAUCCUAGCAUUUUAUCUAUGAGUGACAUUUCCAUAUACUUUAAUGUUAAGUAAUUGUCCAUUUCCA